rnacentral:lncRNA from 1 species
CUCCGCCCCGCCGCCGCCCCUCGGAAAAUAAUAAACAAUCGAGUAAAAUGCGGCGCGGGGCGGGGGUCCGGGCGGGCUCCGCGCCCCCUCCCCGGAGUUGCCCCUCGCUCCGGGCCCUGCCUGCAGCCCUGCCGCCAGAAAAGCCUUUCCUCUAGGUGCUGCGGCGCUCGCACGGAAAUUGCCUCAGCCAGAAGUUCAUAUAAUUUUGUGUACCUAAAUGCAAGCCUAGCACAGCCUAUGAAGAACCUUUGGAAACUGCAAUACAGGUAGGUAAGAAAUUCCUUUGAUUCACAAAGUGGUUUUGUUGUUUUGCCUCAAAGCCAAGAGCAAAAACGCAGCUGUCCUGAGUGGAGCUGUUGUGAAGGGACACGGGGCAGAGUGCUGAGGCUGCCUGAGCCUGGCACAGCGGCUGCACCCAGCUCCUGGAGCAGGAGGGAAUGGCUGUGGGACUGUCCCACAGCGGUACCUGAGUCUGCACUGACCUGC